rnacentral:rRNA from 1 species
UACGGAGGGGGCUAGCGUUGUUCGGAAUUACUGGGCGUAAAGGGCGCGUAGGCGGUACGACAAGUCGGGAGUGAAAGCCCGGGGCUCAACCCCGGGACUGCUUUCGAAACUGUCGAACUCGAGUGCAGAAGAGGCAACUGGAAUUCCCAGUGUAGCGGUGAAAUGCGUAGAUAUUGGGAAGAACACCUGAGGCGAAGGCGGCUUCCUGGACACCAACUGACGCUGAGACGCGAAAGCGUGGGGAGCAAACAGG